GCACGUGGCACCUUUUUGACUUUUAGAAAAGGGGAUGUUUAUCUCUCUGUCUCGUCUCUUACUUUGGUUUUCCAGAUAGCUCGACCAUAUAACACCCCUAAACUCAUCCUCAAGUACUCCAUAAGUAUUUUCAAUGAUACUAUCAUCCGAGGCACGAAAUCACGAAGCAAUAACACAAGAACGAUCCUCACGACGUAAGUAUUGCUAUAUAACCUCUCUUUUUCUUUGUAGUUUGAGUUUUGGAAGGUAGUUUGAAGUUAAUAAAAAUGCCUAAUUUCUGGUUUCAAGAUCUUAAAUAUCAAGUAAGGUUGAUUAAUUCAUUUCAUAAUAUUUAGAACUCACGGGACGGUGAUCGGAAGCCGUGAGUUCGAGUUAUUUGAUUUGUAAUGGACUGUUUUGUGGGCUGUUUCGUGGGUUGUUUCGUGUAGCUUUUGAGCUGUAUAUUUUUCUGCUAUUUAAUGGAGUUUUUAGAGGAUAAUUGGUGUGGAGAAACACCACAUAUUGGUGAAAUAAUGGAUUUGUCAUUCUUUAUAAUACUUUCGAGGUGUUGGACACUACUAUAGUCGUUGUUUUUGGUAUGAAUUGAUUGGGGUAUGUUGGGCUGUUGUAAGCUAAAUAUAACAUGAAUUUCGACUUGCAUCUACUGUAGGAGGUAAUUAUAUUGUGUUCCAACAAGUUCUUAAGGUUAUAUUGACAUCAGUUGAGUUAAAUGGAUGAACUAGACAUGAACUAGUGAAUAAAGUUGCCAAUUAAGAAUAAUUGGAGUUGUGGAUCAUUUUCUUUGUUAUGGAUAUAUGGUAUAAGGUUGGAAUUACUGAUGAAUGACUUCAAAUGAUACUAUUAAGUUAAAGUAAAAAGUCUAUAAGGGAUGAUAUGGGGUAUACGAAUUCCAAUUGGAGCUUGUCGCUCGUGGUAAAAUAGUUAUGACUUGUUGUUUUAUGGUAUCUUGUUAUUGAUGAUUAUGUAUUAUUGGAUUUCUCUGGUAAUUUUUGUGGGUAUAUUAUAUUGGAGGAGGCUCUUGUUACAGGGGAGAUGCUGCACGAAUUUAUAUAAACGAGCUACAAGUUUAAGUUGCAGAUUUAGCCUUUAUUCAAUACUGAUUUUGAAUCUACUCCUAGCAAAUAAGGUUGUACAUUUUGUUAUUUCCGUACAAAGUUAUUCUAAGAAAGUAUGUAUGAUCCUUGAGUCCUAGUGAAGUUCAUAUUGAUGGUAUGAUGUCCAUAAUGCUAAUCAAAGGUGAAACGACCUUACGUCACUCUGAAAGGUUUAGAACGUGAUUCCAUGAGUCUAGCAUGCAUUAUAUAUAAUAUCUAUUUUGAUCUACUGAGACGCACUAUAGUAGGCCGGGUACGACACCUAUUGUUCAACCACUGAUCAGUUAGAUUUACCGAGCUCCACGUGGCCGGGUACGAUUCUAACGAGCCUUAUGAUGGCCGGGUAUGUUUUUACCGAGUCCUCUUUGAGGCCGGGUACGAUAUGAUGAUGAUGAUGAUGUCUACAGAGACGUAUGUUUUUAAAAUUUUAUGUAUAUAUAUGUAUUAUGCACUUCAUGUCAGUAGCUCCCAGAGGCACGCAGAUGUUACAGGUUGUAUCUCCUUUAUCUCUCUUUACAUUAAUGUUCUUGUUUAUGCUUUCCUACCUUACAUACUCAGUACUUUAUUUGUACUGACGUCCCUUUUGCCUGGGGACGCUGCGUUUCAUGCCCGCAGGUCCCGAUUGAUAGGUUGACAGUCUUCCUAGUAGGCUAUCAGCUCAGCGGAGGUGUUGGUGCACUCCACUUGCUCCGGAGUUGCCUAUUUGGUCAGUAUGCUUUGGAUAUGUAUUGAUUGGUAUGGCGGGCCCUGUAUCGACCUUUAUGAUUUUAUGUACUCUUAGAGGCUUGUAGACAGAUAUCAGGUUUACAGAUACGUGUAUGGCCUUAUUGGCUUAUGUGUUGAAUUUACAAAUGGUCAUGUCGGCCUUAUAGGCCUGUAUGUCAUAUGUAUAAGUUUGUAUAUCAUGUUGGAUCGUCAUAUGUUGAGUAUUCUCUUAUGAUUUAUUCUUGUUAUCUCAUGACGGGUUUCUGGCUCAUUUACUUAAGAUAGUAUAAUAAGAAAGAUAUGUUAUGUUGGUACUCGGUUGAGUAAGGCACCGGGUGCCCUUCGCGGCCCUUCGAUUUGGGUCGUGACAAUAUAGCUAAUCCAUUU
rnacentral:lncRNA from 1 species